rnacentral:tRNA from 1 species
GGGAAUGUGGCUCAGUGGUAGAGCAGCUGUUUGUUAAGCAGCCGGUCGAAGGUUCGAUCCCUUCCAUUCCCU